AUUGAACGCUGGCGGCAUGCUUUACACAUGCAAGUCGAACGGUAACAGGCCGCAAGGUGCUGACGAGUGGCGAACGGGUGAGUAAUGCAUCGGAACGUGCCCAGUCGUGGGGGAUAACUACUCGAAAGAGUAGCUAAUACCGCAUACGAUCUAUGGAUGAAAGCGGGGGACCGUAAGGCCUCGCGCGAUUGGAGCGGCCGAUGUCAGAUUAGGUAGUUGGUGGGGUAAAGGCUCACCAACCCAACGAUCUGUAGCUGGUCUGAGAGGAUGACCAGCCACACUGGGACUGAGACACGGCCCAGACUCCUACGGGAGGCAGCAGUGGGGAAUUUUGGACAAUGGGCGCAAGCCUGAUCCAGCAAUGCCGCGUGCAGGAAGAAGGCCUUCGGGUUGUAAACUGCUUUUGUACGGAACGAAACGGCUCUGGUUAAUACCCGGGGCUAAUGACGGUACCGUAAGAAUAAGCACCGGCUAACUACGUG
rnacentral:rRNA from 1 species